GGGGUGUUGGGUGGAGGUUACAACCUUUUUAGAAAGUGUGCAGACCUGUGAUCUCUGCCUCUUCCGCCGCAGCUGCUGUGGGUGUUCGGUCCGGCCUGGGUAGCUCCUAGCACUGGAUGGACCUGAACCCUUCACCUGUGGCUCCCACGGCCCCUCAUCAGGACUCCAAAGUGCCUUCUAAGCCGGAGAUUCAAUCCUGCCUGCAUUUGGGGCAACACCCAGCUCCCAAAGGAGCCAGAGUUGGUGAAACUCUCCCCCCAUUCUGACACCCUGGCCCAGGCCCCAGAUUUUCGUCUCUUCCCAAAGAUCUUUGGGGAUCCCGGCACCGUCCCCUUGGAGGGAUGUGACAACUCCUGAGGAUGGAACCAGGAAUAAAUUGAAAUGGGCCCACGUCUGCGGGAAAUGUGGGCGUGUACAACAGACAAAGUGAAAGAAAAUGUGGGUGUUUCAUUUCGAUUCUAAGGGUCUCGGGAAGAAACCAGCUUUUAAAAAAUUUCCUUUUAAAACAUCUUAAAUUACAAACGUGAAACACAUUAGACAAGGGGUGGUAUACAAAAACGAAAAGAAAAACCAGCCAAGGUUCUAAUAUUCAGAAGUUAACUGCUAUUAAUAUUUAUGAAAUAUAAAUUGUUUUUAUGAA